UGGCAGGAUCAACCAGGUAGCAUUCCUCUUCGACGCCGCCAGUCACGCACAAACAUGUCUACACGCAACCGACGUCGUUUUUAGAGAAGCGAGAACGCUUAUUUGGGGCAAACACAAGGCCUUGACGACCCCAUGCCCCACCUAAGGUUCCAUAUCCGAGAGACCAAGCAAUGCUCCACUAGCCAUGAAACCGGCACUCACACACCGAUAUCAUGGAUGACAGAGAUUGCUUCGAGGUUCAACCCACGUCACAAGAGCGACGCGCGAUGAACAGGGACACUUUUACGGCAUUGCGAUUCCUUCAUAUAGGUAUGCAACACAGAGAUCCCGCACAUUGCUCAAGGAAAAUUCUACCUUGAGCCAAAACUGAAGAGGUAUGUACGCGCGGACGUUGUUGCACAAGCAAACAGCCAACCACCCGUAACAUUCCAACAACCACUCACGCACCGUUCCGGUCAUCAAUCCCAAGGUUCGACCCAGCUAAUAGCAACAAACCUGACACACGCGCCAAAUGAGCCACUAGAAGCAAAAGCGGAACCCAGAAUGC
rnacentral:misc_RNA from 1 species